rnacentral:ncRNA from 2 species
CCCGCUCUAACGGGGUGCCUUCCGACCGCAUGGCGGCCGAAGGCUGAGAGGCGUUGAACGCCAACCCGCGGAACCUGAUCCGGCUCAUACCGGCGGAGGGAUUAGACGCGAUCGGAUC